CUUAAAGAAAAUAAAUAGUCUAAUCAGAGAGAAUGAAGCAUUAAAAGGGGUUUUUACGUGCAUUUUUCUAGUCCAUUACAACUUUUCAAAUCAAUGAGGUCGAUUGGAAUUGUGGCGGGAUGGUAAUGCGAGCUGCCAAGAUGAAAAAAUAUUUAUUAAGUUUUUUUCUGUCUUUCAAUUAAUUAGUUUGAUUUGUUCUAAAAAAAUAAAAAUGUUAUUGAAUUAGUUAGUUGAGUGUGUUUAUUUUAAAUAUACGAUUACCGUGUUUUAAGUUAAGUUUGUGAAGGUUUUAUUAUCUAUAAAAUAAUUUUAUUUUUAUA